rnacentral:rRNA from 1 species
UAGAGUUUGAUCCUGGCUCAGAUUGAACGCUGGCGGUAUGCUUAACACAUGCAAGUCGAACGGAAACGAUACUAGCUUGCUAGUAGGCGUCGAGUGGCGGGCGGGUGAGUAACGCGUAGGAAUCUACCUAAUAGUGGGGGAUAGCCCGGAGAAAUCCGGAUUAAUACCGCAUAAUCUCUAUGGAGUAAAGGGGCCCUCUUCUUGAAAGGUUUCGCUAUCAGAUGAGCCUGCGUAAGAUUAGCUAGUUGGUGAGGUAAAAGCUCACCAAGGCGACGAUCUUUAGCUGGUCUGAGAGGAUGAUCAGCCACACUGGGACUGAGACACGGCCCAGACUCCUACGGGAGGCAGCAGUGGGGAAUAUUGUACAAUGGGGGCAACCCUGGUCCAACAAUACCGCGUGUGUGAAGAAGGCCUGAGGGUUGUAAAGC